rnacentral:rRNA from 1 species
GACGAACGCUGGCGGCGUGCUUAACACAUGCAAGUCGAGCGGUAAGGCCCUUUCGGGGGUACACGAGCGGCGAACGGGUGAGUAACACGUGGGCGACCUGCCUCUAGCUCUGGGAUAAGCCUGGGAAGCUGGGUCUAAUACCGGAUAUGACCUCGCGGUGCAUGUUGCGGGGUGGAAAGCCUUGUGCGGCUAGGGAUGGGCCCGCGGCCUAUCAGCUUGUUGGUGGGGUGAUGGCCUACCAAGGCGACGACGGGUAGCCGGCCUGAGAGGGCGACCGGCCACACUGGGACUGAGACACGGCCCAGACUCCUACGGGAGGCAGCAGUGGGGAAUCUUGCGCAAUGGGCGAAAGCCUGACGCAGCGACGCCGCGUGAGGGAUGACGGCCUU